rnacentral:rRNA from 1 species
UCCGUACCGCAAACCGACACAGGUAGUUGAGGAGAGAAUCCUAAGGUGUGCGAGAGAACUCUCGUUAAGGAACUCGGCAAAAUGACCCCGUAACUUCGGGAGAAGGGGUGCUGACCGCAAGGUCAGCCGCAGUGAAUAGGCCCAAGCGACUGUUUAUCAAAAACACAGGUCUCUGCAAAAUCGAAAGGUGACGUAUAGGGGCUGACGCCUGCCCGGUGCUGGAAGGUUAAGAGGAGAGGUUAGCGCAAGCGAAGCUUUGAAUUGAAGCCCCAGUAAACGGCGGCCGUAACAAUAACGGUCCUAAGGUAGCGAAAUUCCUUGUCGGGUAAGUUCCGACCCGCACGAAAGGCGUAACGAUUUGGGCGCUGUCUCAACGAGAGACUCGGUGAAAUUAUAGUACCAGUGAAGAUGCUGGUUACCCGCGACAGGACGGAAAGACCCCAUGGAGCUUUACUGCAGUUUGAUAUUGCGUGUUUGUAUCACAUGUACAGGAUAGGUAGGAGCCGAAGAUACCGGGACGCCAGUCUCGGAGGAGGCAACGGUGGGAUACUACCCUUGUGAUAUGACCACUCUAACCCGCUGCUCUUAGCGAGCAGGGAGACAGUGUCAGACGGGCAGUUUGACUGGGGCGGUCGCCUCCAAAAAUGUAACGGAGGCGCCCAAAGGUUCCCUCAGAAUGGUUGGAAAUCAUUCGUAGAGUGUAAAGGCAGAAGGGAGCUUGACUGCGAGACCUACAAGUCGAGCAGGGACGAAAGUCGGGCUUAGUGAUCCGGUGGUUCCGCAUGGAAGGGCCAUCGCUCAACGGAUAAAAGCUACCCUGGGGAUAACAGGCUUAUCUCCCCCAAGAGUUCACAUCGACGGGGAGGUUUGGCACCUCGAUGUCGGCUCAUCGCAUCCUGGGGCUGUAGUCGGUCCCAAGGGUUGGGCUGUUCGCCCAUUAAAGCGGUACGCGAGCUGGGUUCAGAACGUCGUGAGACAGUUCGGUCCCUAUCCGUCGCGGGCGUUGGAAAUUUGAGAGGAGCUGUCCUUAGUACGAGAGGACCGGGAUGGACACACCGCUGGUGUACCAGUUGUUCUGCCAAGAGCAUCGCUGGGUAGCUAUGUGUGGACGGGAUAAACGCUGAAAGCUUCUAAGCGUGAAGCCCCCCUCAAGAUGAGAUUUCCCAUCACUUUAAGUGAGUAAGACCCCUGAGAGAUGAUCAGGUAGAUAGGUUGGGAGUGGAAGUACAGCGAUGUAUGGAGCGGACCAAUACUAAUCGGUCGAGGACUUAACCG